UCCACCAGGCGCAGGUGUCCUGCAUGAUGCCUCGGAGCGUUAACUGUCUCUGUGCUGGAGAGGCCAACCGUGUCCCUAGGAUGGCUGCUCAGUUUCAACGGGGGCAGUAAGUUAUUUGGAAACAUCUGGAUCUGGGGCACUGAGUGGAGGGUAUGUAUCUGGGGGAAACAUCUGGAGAAAGAAACUGCUUCCAGAUGUGUUUGGGCAACAAUGCUAUUUAAAUGUAAACUCAAUAUAAGUUACUGUCCUGCUUUACAAGCAUUCAGAAAACAUCUGAUUGCAGGGGAGUCCAAGGUGCUGGCUGCUGCUUGUGGGUGGAGGUCUGGGUGCAGGACAGUGUCUGCAGAUGUGCAUCUGCAUUUGCUGCAGAUGUGGCCUUAUAAAAGCAAAGCUUUGCGGCACUGAAGAGCAGACAGGCUGGUUUUUGGUAGCUGUGCUCCACGUGUGUAACUACUAGACAUUAUAUAGGAUUCAUUCUUCUACAGAGGGAGCACAGUGUAAAGCCGCAAGAGAAGGUUUGUGACUCCGUUAGCAGGGGGAGCUAGCCUUGCUCCCUGCCUGCCUGGCACAAUGUUCUUCCCCUUUCUCUGUGACCACCUGGGACUCUGGGAAGGGACAAAGUGAUGGUGACGUCCUCCCCACCCUGGGCAUCCUGCACAGAGACCAGGCAUUGCACCCUGCUCCGGUGGGAACACCCAAGCUGCAGGUCAGCGCUCUCCUUCCCUCCCAUCCAGCAAAGCCAGCCUGCGGCACUGCCGUUGCAGUGUUAAUCUUCCCCAAGCACGCGGAAGCAGAGCCUGUCACCGGUAAACCCGGUACCCAGCAGACGUGUUCCUUCUCAUAGUGCUUUUGUGGGAGAUUGGAGAUGAAGAGAGAAAACAUGGAAAUAAUUUUUAUCUCGCUUUCAGUCUCUGAUGGGUAAAUCCUUAGGAGGCCAGUGCCACGCACGCGGUGAAGGAAGCAGGACUGCCAUCCCUGCCCACCCGAGGUUUCCCUGCUUUGUUCUAUUUAUUGAGCAACGAUUCUAACACCCUUUCCCAGACUGUGACUCAUAGCAGCACUGUCUGUGCACAAGCCAUGCGUCUCGGAGCGCUUUAUAGAGGAGCUGCAGGAGCCUUGCAGGAGCCAACUGUGUUUAUUAAAAGAUGAUCAGAUGUUUCCUCCCUUAAGGCAGUGUCUAGCUGAGGCUGAGUAAUAACUCAUUACCAACGAGGCAAAUAACUGCUUAUCAUCAGGUCAGCGCCUUCACCAGCCCUUCUGUUAGCGACGGCAGGCACCGUGCUUCUCCUGCCCCGAGCACCGGUGGUCUCGGCACCCAGCACAGGGGGGUGAGAAGGGAGCUGCCCUGCAGGACCCCGCUCCAGUCCCUGUCCCGUCUCCUGCUGGCAGCUGGAGCAGGGGCAGCCCCAGGCUCUGCUCCGCUGCUCAGCAGGGUUUGGCCCUGGGUUAAGCUCAAGGAACAGUUUUAUCCAGCCCUGGUGUAGCUUUUUUCCUCCUGCCUGUGGAAGCAGGCUGCUGUAGUGGCCUCACAGUCCACGUCUUUCUUUCCUAGUGCUGGGGAUUCAGAGCAAAUGCAAAUGCACCAGAGCUUGCUGUGGCCUGGUGGAAAUAUCAAUGGUGGGUCAGCAGAGGUGCCCUGGGAGCGCUGCCAGGGCCAUGGGUGAGGUGGGAUGUCAUGCUCCGCCAACAUCCCCAUGUGUUCCUUGCUGCCCAGCGAGGCAGCGCUCACUCACGGGCCUCUCUCGAGGGCUGGGCUGGAGGGAAGGCAGUGGAGAGCGGGGCCAACUCUCAUCCCCUUGCAGGACACGGGGCCGGGACCCUCGCGGUCUUGGUCAGAGCCUUUCCUCAGACGCCAUCCUCUGGCGCGGCCGCCGCGGUCCUUCCCUGCCAGAUGCCAUGGCAUCUCUCCACGUCCUUUGUUCCCUCCCUUGCUUGCGCGUCUCCGUUGAUUUAUGGCCGUUGCGGGGCAGCCUGACUGCAGCUCAGCUGCUUGCCCAGACCCCAGUUGGGCUGCGUGCCGUCGCCUCCAGCCUGCCAGGCAGAGAGGCUUUUGGGGAGACAUCCAACCCCCCCUGUGCAGUAGGGCCCCCCUGCAUUUAAACAUGUGCACGGCCUUUUCUUUCACCUCCUUCCAGCCUGCGUGUGAAUGAAGUGCUUUCAGGGGGAGGAGAUUGCUGGGAGCCCCGCUCUCCCCAUGCAUUGGUUGCAGCCCGUAAAAGCAUCCGAGGAAUUCGCCACAGCGGUCCCAGUGCGGGGUGAGCUCAGUGAAAGCCACCCUUUGUUCCUGCAGCCCUGGCCACCAAGUCCCACGCAGGGACGGGGCUGGAAUCUGCAGAGCUGGACAUGUGCUCCCGCCGGCACGUCGCCCUUAGCGGCCCUGCGCGGGUGCCACACUGCACUGUGGCCAUCAGGAAAGGGUUUUCCCGUGUCUUACCCCAGCCAGGGUGAGCAGCCUGGGGUUGAGCGGCAUUAGGUGCUGCCGGGGCACGAUGAAAGGAUUUCCCCCGGGUUUACCAGCAAGGUUGAGCGCCUGGCGGUACACACGGCGUGACCCCAGCUUUAGCCCCGUGCUGCUUAAGCUGAGUCAGAGGAACGGAAAUCCCUUCUUACACAGAUAUUUUCCCACUAAGUGUUUGAUUACAGGUUUGGGGUUUAAUCUCGCCCCCAUCUCACGCAGUUCCCCGGCUGGCCGUGCUGCUUGCCUGCUGCCUGCCGGGCCCGCUCCGGCAGGAAAGGACGGAGGGCUGACACCGAGCCAGGACGUGCCUCCGCUGCAGCCUGCACACAGGCGGCUGGCACCCAGCCCAGAACAUGGCUCUGGAAAAAAAUAAAUGCCUUUUUUGUUUUUGAGGAAAGCCCAGAAUGCUUCGACAAGGACAAAACCUCUUCCUAAAUCCAGUUUUAAAAGUCCUGUUUUCUCUCAGGGUUCAAAAUAACCUGGCCAAAAGUGUCUGCUCCUUGGUGGCCUGUGGGUCAGUUUGGACGGGGUAAACCUGGACCCACAUUGCAAAGGCUCCUUCUGAAACCAUGGCUUGCAGGGGGACUGAGGGACAGCACCCAUGCGGCCCCCUUCCAGCAGGGUCCCCACCCAUGGGUGCUGGUGGUCCUGCUGGCAGGGGGUCCCUGGACCUUUUCUAUGCUGUAAUUAGCAGAAGAAAACUAUUGGGUGACUCAGCAAGCAUCGGGUGCCAGGCCAAGGCUUUGUCACUGUCCUGCAGCAAGACUGACACGUGCAAUUCAGACAGAGCCUGGGCUGGCUAAAGAUACCGCGUUACUUAAAUAUUUUAUAGAAAAUCAUUAAGCAAUUAAAUCUGGCAGAUCUCACAUCAUAGAAAAAGCAGGUUGAAGUCUGUGCAGUAAACAGGGCACCGCUUCCCGGUCGUUUGGGAUGUCUUCUUGGAGUCUUAACUCCAAUCCUUGCUUCAGAAUAACUAUAAUUAUCUCUUAAUUGCCAUUAUUGUUUAACAUUUUAGCAUUUGCAAGUGCAAACUGUUACAGUUUUCCAUGCAGAUACAAUCAGUAGCCAGGGUUCACAAUGAAAGCAAUUAAAAUCCUGUGAUUAUUACAAGCCUGCAUGUCUAUACAACAGCUUCAAUCUGCAUAACUUGCCAAGAUGUAGGCUAGAAACUCAGACAAAUUUAGCAUUUAUUUAGUAACCCAGCAAAGCUACUACCUCUUGCUGCCUCCAAUGAUUUGCAUCUACGGCACUUUUUGGAAGGACGCCAGUGUUGAGGGGAGGGGAAAGAAAGCAUUUUCUAGAAUACAUCCCUGGAGAAUAUACAGCAAAGAUAAAAUUAUGCACAUGAAUUAUGCAUAUGAAUUAUGAUUUCACUCCUAUUUUUGUUGGGAUUAGCUCAUGUUUGGUGUGCAUCCCUGGCAGGUUGCUGGCGGUUCGGCAGCUAGCAGAGCACUCUUUCCAACUCCCAGCAGGUCACUGCAGUUUCGGGUCCUGCGUUCCCCGCUCCACCAGCAGCGGCCUCCCGUGGGCUUGCAGAGCUUCUUGGGGACCCAGCCCACCGGUAACGAUGGCAGCCCCUGCUCCUUCACCCCUCUCCGUCUGGGCAAGUAGUUUUUCUGUGUUAAUUUACGGCAUCUCUUCUGAAAACAUGUGACGGAUGAAAACAGAUUUAGGUGUAAAACUAAAAAAGCAAGUCUGUGCUAUUUUGUAUAGAGGGGGAGGCAUUUGCAGGCUCCGCUGCCACCAGCCACACUUUCGCUGGUGUCCCCUGGGUCUCCACCACCUCCCAGGGAAGGCGGACGUGGAAACAUCCCAGGCUCUGCCAGCUCUGGGGAGAUAAAGCCCGAAGAAAGGAGGAGCGCAAGGGGGAGACAGUAGCAGCAUUUCCCAGAUCUCCACACCAGACUCAGCUGCAAUCCCAGCACACAGUCGAUGAAAGCCAUGUUAAAUAAAGCCAGCAGUCCUUCCAGGAGAAACAGCUUGGGAAUCCUGAGCCCUGUUUCCAGGAGGGCUGGUGACCCCAGCCCAUGGGGGUUUCCACGUGGAAAGGAGGCUUAAUGGCCCUUGUUGCAGGGGAGAAAUUACCCUAAUUAGCCAAAUGUACCCAGGGCAAGGAGCAGGCUGGGCCUGAGCAAGUGGGGCUCAGGGAUCCAGGUGGGGGGUCCAGGCUGGGGUAGGGCUCAGGGAUGCUCCCCAGCCGGGUCCUUCCCUUGCUAUCCCACACGCUCUGUCCCAUCCCAACAUCUCAUCUCUGCUGCUGCCUUGGAGUAACAUCCCUGACAACCCAGCAGUCGUUUGCAGGAGAAAAUGAGAUUAGGAAAGUAUUUCAAGUAUUUGUGUCUGUUAUCCAGUGGCAAACAAGCCCAGAGCCAGCGCUGUUUGUCCUGUCAGCUGGCUGGCAGCUUGGGAAAGCAGCCGGGAAGGCAGUGGGAGACACCUGGAGAUAAUGCUAGGUAUCAGGGGCUGAAUUUGCACAUGCCUUUGGGGAAUAGUAAAUGUGUAGCAUGGUGCAGGCAGGGGAAUUCACUAAAUCUCCCUCCCAGGGAUGGAGUACCUGUGUGUGCACGUUUGCAGGCACCUCUUUGUGGCUGGGGGCUCCCUGGGACAGCCCCUGCUCCUUCACUGAUCUCGGGUCUGGGGCAAGUAGUUUUUCUGGUCCUCAGCCCAGCCACUCUCCUGCUCUCUGACCUGAGGAAGUUGCCUGAGAACCAGUGUUGCUCGGAAGGACAGCACAGCUCGUAACACUGGUAUGUAAUGCAUGGCAACGCUCCGCACGGUGCAGGCAAAACACAGGCAACUUGUGCAGCCACAUGGACUUCCCCACGUGCAUGAGCAGGAAGAGACACAGCUGACAAAUCUGAAAGGCGAGGAGGAGGCAGGGAGAACCAGCAGCAGCUCCCAGGUCAUCACUUUGUCAAAAUCAGCAGGUAUCUGCCGUGCCCUUGAGCUCUCUAUUGUGGCUCCUGUUUAGUUUGGCUUCCCCAUGGCAGCUGUCACCCUCCCUGCAUUAUCAAACCACCUGCCUGAAUUUCAAGGAAGUCAUCCAUAUAUUCAACAGGAAUAUCAAUUUCCAGGAGCUCUUGGGGGCCUUCAGAUCAGAGCAGCUAAACCAGGGAUUUCUGCUGAGCUGUGCUCACACCACCGGAGCUGGAAUUUCUUUUGGCUGGGAUGUCUGCUGGGGGGCUGCAGGGAGGUGGGCUUUUGUUUAAGCUGUAACCAAACAGGGUUGGCAAAACGUUGUCAGCGUUUGCCUGGCCUCAGCCCCGCUCCCUGGCACCCGGAGGAGCAUGGAUCCCACUGCGAGCGACAGCGAGGCCAGCUUCCCCCGUGGUCUGUCCAGGGGCAUGGCGCAGUGCUCGGCUGUCCUCCUGGGGCUGAGCCCGCAUCCCAGCAGCAUCACGGCUGGUGGGACCCAGCCCAGGAGAAACGAGCCCAAGCGAUGCAGCCUGGGGAAGGACACUUUCUGUGCAUGUUUUUAAGCCAAAUGCGGCUCCUGAAAUCAACAGAGAAGGUGAUUCCUUUGCAGCCUGGGGAACCAUCCUGUCCACAUUCUUCCCUGGGACCUUCGAAGGAGCUGAGGAAUCCAAUUCCCACGAAUUUUCUUUGAAAACACCAACCUAAAAUUGUAAUUAUGGCAUGCUGUAUUACAGGGGAGGAAAGAACCCACCAGACUGUAACUACCUUGUUUUCCUAAGACAUGAGUUUUGAUGAUGUAUUAAGACUUACAUUUUUAACAAUAUUAUGUUGGUUAAUGUGGGAAGAU